AAACAAAAAGUCUUCGCGGUUUUUGGGAUACGAUACGCCAGGAGGGUCAAGCUUAACCAAUUCGCCUCUCAAAAUGGCGGAUGAACCAACACGGGAGUGGAGCGAUGAGCAGCUCAAAAGUGACGAUUUGCCCAAAAAAGACAUUAUAAAGUUCAUUCAGGACAAUGCAGCCCACUCGUUCCUCAAUGAGCACAAGCUGCUGGGAAACAUCAAAAACGUCGCCAAAACAGCAAAGAAAGAGCAACUGAUCACUGCCUACAAUCAGCUGUUUGAGAGCAAA